rnacentral:rRNA from 1 species
UACCAGCACCCCGAGUGGUCGGGACGAUUAUUGGGCCUAAAGCAUCCGUAGCCGGUUCUACAAGUCUUCCGUUAAAUCCACCUGCUUAACAGCUGGGCUGCGGAGGAUACUAUAGAGCUAGGAGGCGGGAGAGGCAAGCGGUACUCGAUGGGUAGGGGUAAAAUCCGUUGAUCCAUUGAAGACCACCAGUGGCGAAGGCGGCUUGCCAGAACGCGCUCGACGGUGAGGGAUGAAAGCUGGGGGAGCAAACCGG